rnacentral:rRNA from 1 species
AGUGAACGCUGGCGGCAGGCCUAACACAUGCAAGUCGAACGGAAGCACAGUAAGAGCUUGCUCCUACGGGUGGCGAGUGGCGGACGGGUGAGGCAUACAUCGGAAUCUACUUUUUCGUGGGGAAUAACGUAGGAAAACUUCCGCUAAUACCGAAUACGUCGUACGGCAGAAAUCAGGGGAUCUUCGCACUUUGGCUGUUAGAUUUAGCCGAUGUCGCAUUAGCUAGUUGGCGGGGUAAGGGCCCACCAAGGCAACGCUACGUAGCUGGUCUGAGAGGAUGAUCAGCCACACUGGAACUGAGACACGGUCCAGACUCCUACGGGAGGCAGCAGUUGGGAAUAUUAGGCAAUGGGCGAAAGCCUGAUGCAGCCACACCGCGUGAGUGAUGAAGGUCUUCGGAUUGUAAAGCUCUUUUAUUGGGAAAGAAAAGCUGUAUGUUAAAACCCGGAUAUUUUGACGGUACCCAAACAGAAAGCACCGGCUAACUACGUG